UUGGCUGUCCAGCUGUUCAAAUAACAGUUGUUAGCAAGGGCCGGGCAAGACCGGUGCCAGCCGCCGCGGUAACACCGGCGGCCCGAGUGGUAGCCGUUAUUAUUGGGUUUAAAGGGUCCGUAGCCGGCCUAUUAAGUCUCUUGGGAAAUCUGGCGACUCAAUCGUAAGGCGUCCA
rnacentral:rRNA from 1 species